GAGCUCUCAAACAAAGCGCCAGUCAGAAAAAUGAUGCCAAAAAUAGUUUUGUUCGGGUAUUAAAACUACGACUUGGUCCACAAAUAACGAAUUGCCGUAUGCAAAACAUGCAGUUGGAAGAUUACAGACGGAGACGCAACAACUUCCAACUUUGUUCGACAUUUAAAGAUGCACAAUGAAGGAAAUGGAGGUGUGGAGAGGCGGAGCUGGCAGUCCGACGACGAGGUAGGGCACGCUGGAGCCCGACCCAAGAUGGCGGUGAGGAGGCGGAGAAGUCAAGUGGGCGGCGAGGUGAGGCGUGCCGGGAGCAACGCCGCAGGCAAGAUCAGGUGUGUGGAUUGCGCACCUGGACACAACCAAUGUAUCUCCUCUCAAUGUAUAAAAGGGGAGAAGGAGGAGAGAUGGGGGCAGAAGGAGUUGGAGAGCCCGCAGCAGGGCGUAAGCGACAAAGAGGAAGACGAAGACGCGGCCGACUGAAGAGCGACACGGAGGAUCGAGCAGUGAGAGCGACGAUGGCGCAUAAGACUUUCUUUAUUUGAAAAAAUAAACCUGCACGAGAAUGCCCUUCCUUGAUGGUCCUGGGAACCCGCACGACGGCAAGCGUCCAUCACAGGAGGAAGGAGCACAGAGCAGGAUGCUGAGGGCUGAAGGCAAUUAAGUGACCGCAAAACAGGAGAAGAUUCUGGGCCCGAGCUUGAGGAAUGCUUUAGCUCUGACCGAGUGACCAUCGGAAUCUUGGUCACCUACCUGACUAGACUAAGAUGAAUGCAGCAACGUACAGAGACAACGUACAAAGACGUCCUGGAUGACAACCAAGACUUCCCAUCCAAUCUGCCGGAGCUUGAGAGUUCCUGUAAAGAGAAAUGCCCAAAGACAGGCGUGCCAAGCUUGUGGCGUCGUAUUCAAAAAUACUUGAGGCUGUAAUUGCAUGAGCAAAGGAAAAAGUGAAGCAUGGGUACAGCAUCAGAGACACAAACUAAGAUCCUGAGCCAUCACGAGUUGUCGUUUUCGCGGCAAGGUGUGAGUUCCGACUACAGACAAAACCAUCCCUGAACAAACACGCCUCGUUCUUCGCAAGGCUGGUUUUCAUUUUCCGGGUAGUGGCGAACAUCAUCCAUUGUUUUGUCUAUUUGUCUUUAUUUCCAAAGCCGUGCCACGCCUGAGAGAGAAAAACAGAUGGUGAAGGUGCAGAGAUAAGACCUAGAAGAGGAGGGUAUCCAGUUUCAAACUCACAGCAUGUUUUAAGAUAAGCCUUGGAGAUUUCUGAGGCUUUUGGUGCCCUCAUGUUUCGAUGUGAAGUCAUCAAGCGCACCUUAGACCAGACAGCAACCUGACUCCAGGUUUUCACAUAGAACUCGGCAUGCUGUGUAGUUUUGUGCAACUGGAGCCAGCAUGCAAGCGUAUCACAUGUUCUACCAACAGAGGCUUAUGAUAAGAAGCUGUAGUCUUUUCACGCAGUUCUGAGAUUUGGAUUUUAUUUGUGCUUUUUAAAUUCCUGCUUGAAAGUGACUACGCCGCUCACAUUUCAAUAUUUAGUUCUAUUGUUAUCUAAUACUGCCCUCAUCAAUCAUACAUUACUGGAAUCAUCUUCCGUGUUAUGGUGAUGUUAGACACCUUGCACUCCUACACCUCCCGUCGUUCCGCUUGACCCUUGUGUGACGGACUCUUGCCGUCGUGCAGGUUCCAUGGACCACCAAGGAAGGACAUUCUUGUGCAGGUUUGACUCUUGAUAAUUGUUUCAAAUAAAGAAAGUAUUUUGCGCCGUCGUCGCUCCCACUGCUCGCUCCUCCGUCUCGCUCUUCAGCCGCCCCCGUCGUCGUCGUCUGAGUCUUGCUCUCUGUCUCUUUCGCUCUUCAUCCACUGCUGCGGGCUCUCCAACUCCUUCUCCUUCUGCUUCCAUCCCUCCUCCUUCUCCCCUUUUAUACAUUGAGAGGAGAUACAUUGAUUAUGUCCAGUUGCGCGAUCCACGCACCUGCGGCGUCGCUCCCGGCACGCCCCGCCUGGCCGCUCGCUCGCAUUCUCCGCCUCCUUGCCACCAUCUUGGGCCGGGCUCCAGUGUGCUCCGUCGGAUACGCCUCUCCACACCUUGUAUGGUGUUUGGGUCUGUGGGACCCGUUUUCAUUUUGUAUCAAAAGGAAAAUUGUUGUACACCAGGCAAAACCAGGGCAAAACUGCGGUUCUGAAGGUUUAUUAAAACCUUUGAUGAAUGUGUGGGGUGUGUAUGUUGCCACUAGUGAAUGAAUGCGGACGAUGUGUGGAAUUUACCAGAGGGUGUUGUCGGUGCGUGUUGGAUGUAUCUUUCGUCGAAUCCAAGGGGGAAGGCGAAGAGGCAGUCAGCAGGGAGGCAAGCAGUCGGGGGCUAGAGAGAGGCAACGAUGUCCGUGUCCAAGCACUGGUCGAGGAUCGAGGAAGGCAAGCAAAAAUCCGGGAGGAGGUCGUGAGGCAAGACACGAUUACGGGAGACACUGUGGAAAAAAAACAAAAGAGAUCAAGUCGGGAUCGAGGGAGAGCACAAGAAGGCGAGCAAGGAACAAGGGAGGGGUGCCAGACGUGUUGCUUACUCAGGGGAGAUUGGCUAUGUUCUGGCGAAGGUCUCCUGGCCUCGCUGGUCUUUUAUGCUGCUCCCUCUCGUCAGGGCCAGGUGCGCUGAUAUGUGAUUGCCUGCAGCCUUGUCGCUGUGUGGGCGUGCAGGGGCGUGUCCGGGCAAGCAGCCAGAGGAGGAAUCUUGACACUCAGUUGCAGGAGCAAAACGGGUUCGAAUCCGCGCCGUGACAAAAAUUAUACAAUUAAUACAUUUUUCAAACUGAGACUCAUUGAUUUUUGCUCAUUUUCUGUGAAGAACGUAUAUGACAGGGGUCAGCAACCUUUUUGAAAGCAAGAGCUACUUCUCGGGUAGUGAUUAAAUAAAUAAAUGAUAAAUGGGUUGUACUUGUAUAGUGCUUUUCUACCUUCAAGGUACUCAAAGCGCUUUGACACUACUUCCACAUUCACACACACGUUCACACACUGAUGGAGGGAGCUGCCAUGCAAGGCGCCAACCAGCACCCAUCAGGAGCAAGGGUGAAGUGUCUUGCUCAGGACACAACGGACGUGACGAGGUUGGUACUAGGUGGGAUUUGAACCAGGGACCCUCGGGUUGCGCACGGCCACUCUUCCACUGCGCCACGCCGUCCCAAUUAAUGCGAAGGGCUACCAGUUUGAUACACACUUAAAUAAAUUGCCAGAAAUAGCCAAUUUGCUCAAUUUACGUUUAAUAAAUAAUUCCAUAUAUAUUUUUAAAAAAUGGGUAUUUCUUUCUGUCAUUCCGUCGUACAUUUUUUCUUUUACAGAAGGUUUUUUCUAGAGAAUAAAGGAUGAAAAAAACACUUAAUUGAACAGUUUAAAAGAGGAAAA